rnacentral:rRNA from 1 species
UACAGAGGGGGCAAGCGUUAUUCGGAAUUAUUGGGCGUAAAGGGCGCGUAGGCGGCCUUCUAAGUCGAACGUGAAAUCCCCGGGCUCAACCCGGGAACUGCGUCCGAUACUGGAAGGCUUGAAUCCGGGAGAGGGAUGCGGAAUUCCAGGUGUAGCGGUGAAAUGCGUAGAGAUCAGGAAGAACACCGGUGGCGAAGGCGCUCUGCUAGGCCGUAACUGACACUGAGGGACGAAAGCUAGGGGAGCGAAUGGG